CUCUCCCGUGGCGUCCAGCUCUUUGACGAAGUUGGAGGGAAACAGUCCUGACUUGCCGUUCAAGUCGCCGCUCCACCAGCCCUCUUCAACCUGCAGAGAAGACAUUAUGAGACAUAAACCACCUGACAUGCUGCUGGCGGCUGAGGCAGGAAGCCACCAGUCGGGAUGCCGAUAAAGCUCAUCCUCUGAACCAGGGAAAUCGCUCCCCCUUCCGCCAUCCCAGAGGAUGUUCCAAUUCCUUAAAUGCACCACGAGGAGAGAGGAGGCUUCUGGAGGAGCGAGGAGAGAGGAAACAUUGGUGUAUCCUAUGGGGAAGUCUUUCUAUCAAGUGGCCUGACAUAAACGCUGCACCUCUUGGUUAAAUUGCAGAAAUACAAUUUCACCACAUUGUACUGUACAUGUUUCAUUCCGCCCGAUCGCUUCAGCGACAACACCAAUUAAAGAAAGCAGGAAGCAGACGCACGACUCAGGUGACAGCAACGUUGUCAGGAGCAAAGUUCAACCGGCUUAACUAUCCAAGCCCAGUGGCUGGGCCAGGCUGUUUAGCAGAUUACCGAUCUCACUACGCAGGGUUGGAGGAUGUGGGAAAACAGGAACGAGGUGAGAGAGAAGUGAGGGUCAAAGAAAGAAGGCAAGAGAGAGGAGCAGAAAAUCAAACUGCACUGCAGUAGUGACGCAUUUCACAUUAGCUGUGUAAAUAGCUUACACAGAAAAUGCAGAUGUCCCAGUAGAGCUGCACUCGGGUGUAUCAAGUGUACUAUCAAGUCAUAACAAGAGAUGACUAUGACCCAACUCGACCAAAACCACUGAUAACCGUGUAUCUAAGCCCGAAAAAGCUACCUCUCCUUAUGACCUGUCUCUCUUAGUUACCUGUUAUAGUUACGCUGUUAUAGUUCUAGACUGCCGG